rnacentral:lncRNA from 1 species
GUCUUUUACGUUGCAUGGUUGAUUAUUGAAUGCGUUAAAGGUCCAGGGACAAAUGUAUGAAGCAUUUUCAAUACACGGAAAUAGACCUUUAUGAAAUUAAGAAAAUAACUAAACAUCAAGUGCCAUAUAUUUUUUUAGACUAUUAUUAAUUCCGACAUAAUAAAACAUGUAUCCAAGCAUAACAACUGUAGGAAAAUGUAUAUAAGUCAUUUCUAUUUCAUUUUGUUUAAAUCUUUCAUUGAGGGUAGGACAUUUAAACUAUAAGAAGGAGGGAGGGGUAAGUUUUAAAAAAAAAAAAUAUUCUUAUCCCCAAUUUGAUGAGUGAGAAAAAAUAUUCUGGUCAAGCAUAGCCCCCUCCCCCUUCCCCCCUUUUGAAUUGCUGGUUGCUCUCUAAUUACUAUCACAAGGAGGCGGAGCUAGACUGUGCAUUAACAACUUUUGAGAUGGAAGUUAAUGCACUGGUUUAAGCUCCUCCCAUUCUUUGCUAUUCAAACGAGAAUCCUCAACGGAUGGAUUGUAGAGUGAAAUAACUACAAAAUCAUUCAGUUAACGCACUCCUCUAAAAGUAACCGAAUAAACUCACCAGAAGAUCAAAGGAAAAUUUACCGUUCAUGUUACAAAGAAAUUAAAUGUUUAAAAAACUUCAUAUUGUUCGAAAUACUAAGGAUUUAAUACCCACAGGAAUAGAUGAUCUUAGUUGUAUUAAGCAAAACCUUACGGAAUUGCUAGUCUCCAAUGCUCUACAACUUCGUGCCUUAUUUGAUUUUUUUUAUCCUUAUUAGCUAACUAUUUUACAUGUAACAGGUAUAAUAAUCAUUUGCUGUACAGUUGUAUUUGUACUUAUAAAAAUACAGUCUCCUGUUAUCCCG